rnacentral:lncRNA from 1 species
GUUAGAUGGUGAUAACUGAAAGGAGAAAAAAAUAAAUGGAGGCCGGCCUGGGUGCAUAGAGGUUAAGUCCAGCACACUCUGCUUCAGCAGCCUGGGGUUCACGGGUUCAGAUCCCAGGUGUGGACCUACGCCACUCCUCAAAGGCAUGCUCUGGUGGCAACUCACACACAAAGUAGAGGAAGAUUGGCACAGAUGUUAGCUCAGGGCCAAUCUUCCUCGGCAAAAAAAAAAAAAAAAAAAAGGGAGACAGGGAGUGUCAAGAGUAAAAGGCUGACAUUUUGGAUAGGGUGGCCAGAAAGGCCCUUCUGUAAAGGUGGCAUUUGAGUAAAGAUUGGAGGAAGUGAGUAGGGAAGGCAGUGAAUAUCUGGAGGAAGAAGAUUCCAGGCAAAGGGAACAGCAGGUUCAAAGAACCUCAGGUGCCAGUGUGCCUGUCAUGUUUGGAUAUUGGGGAGCAGCAGAGUGAGUUGGAAGAUGAGUAGUAGUAAGAAGGGUCGGGUGUGUGUUGGGGGGAGAGGUAUUGAAUGGGAAGAUACAGACUAAGCAGGGCCUUGAGGUCACAAUUAGGAGUGUGGUUUUACCCUGAAUGAAACGUCUAGCCUUCGGAGGGUUUGAACAUCCAAGUGUCGUGAUGUGACCUACAUGUUAGCAGCAUCAUUCUGGCAGCUAUGUUAAGAUGGGGGAGGCAGGGAGAUCAGUUAGGAGGCUUGACACAAGUCUGGGUCAGAGGUAAUGGUGGCUGUGACGUCAGCAAUAGUAGUGGAGUAGUAGGAGGUAUUCUGGUUUGGGAUAUAUUUGAUGUAGAGCCAACAGCAUUUUCUCAUGGAUUGGAUGUGAGCUGUGAGGGGAGAAGAGGAGGCAGCGAUUAUUUGAAGGUUCGGCCUGAGCGGCUGAGGGAUGGAGUGCCGUUAACUGACAUGGGGGUGGCUCUGAGAGGAGCAGGCCUGGCGGGGGCUUUUCAGGAGUGAAGCUUUGGACGUGCUGUUUGUGAUGCCUGCUUGACAUGCAGGCGGCGCGAGGCUGUCUAGGUUCACGUGGGUGUUCUAGACUGAAGUUCAGGAAGGACGUCUGGGCGUCCUCAGUGUGGAGAGAAUGUUUGAAACUGUGAGACCGAUUGAGUCAUCUAGAGAAUAAGUGUAGAAAGAGAAGAGAGUAAACUUUUUGAGGUACUUACUCCUUCAUCUCUCUGCUUAGUGCACACCCCUAAAGGCCCCGGGUUCUCUAGGCCUUUCACAGUGUGGUUUCAUAGACAUCCCUCACUCAGUCAAACUGGAGUUCUUCUGUUGCUUAAGCUCUCCUUUGUAUUGCUGCCUUCCUCUUUUUGCCCAUUCUAUUCCUUUUACUUAGAAUGCUGUUUCACUCUUUCUACCCACCUUAAAUCCAGUUUUCUCUAAGCAUCUUUAUCUUGUUACCGCAGAAUGAUCUGUUUCUUUUUCAAACACCAGUUGUUCUAUUUCAUUUUGCAAAAUGCUUCGUCUUUAUUCUACACUCCCUCUUACCUUGCCUGUAUUGUAAAGUUCAUCUUGUUUUUAUAUUUGUCCUUUUUCCUAAUGAGCUAAUGAGAUCUGUGGCAGAGACCAUGAUUUUUGUUGUUGUUGUUCCCCAUUCCCACAUCCCUUGGGAGGGUGGGAGAAGUAUUCUUCUUUUUUGUCUUUGUUGAGGAAGAUUGGCCCUGAGCUAACAUCCAUGGCCAGUCCUCCUCUUUUUGCUCGAGGAAGAUUAUUGCUGAGCUGACAUCAGUGGCAGUCCUCCUCUAUUUUAUGUGGGAUGCCACCACAGUGUGGCUUGACGAGUGGUGCUGCGUCUGCGCUCCGGAUCUGAACCUGCGAACCCCAGGCCACUGAAGCCAGGCAGGCGAACUUAACAACUUGACCACCAGGCCAGCCCCAAAAGGGGCCAUGGUUUUUAAUGUUUUCCACAGUGCUUAGAAGCCCAAUUCUAUUCCUCACAGGCGAUCUCUGG